GGAACGCGCUCACCAGUUGUUUCCGUUAUUAAAUCUCUGUUGUUGAAGGAAUUCUCCCUCGAGCCCCCUUUGAGGUGGUGGGAAUCCUCAGUGACAGUUCGACAGCUAGAGAAUUCGCAGGCCGUUGUUUCCCCCCUCCUACUCCUCUUGAUCCGUGGCAUCCUCUCGAGGUUGGCCUCCGGGGCAGAAGCCCCAGCGGGAGAACCCCUCGAGGGGGCUCGAAAGACUGAAGGCGGCAGGGAGCCGGUGGAGAUGG
rnacentral:lncRNA from 1 species